rnacentral:rRNA from 1 species
UACGUAGGGUGCGAGCGUUAAUCGGAAUUACUGGGCGUAAAGUGUGCGCAGGCGGCCGCGCAAGUCGAGUGUGAAAGCCCCGGGCUUAACUUGGGAAUUGCGCUCGAAACUACGUGGCUGGAGUGUGGCAGAGGAAGGUGGAAUUCCAGGUGUAGCGGUGAAAUGCGUAGAGAUCUGGAGGAACACCGAUGGCGAAGGCAGCCUUCUGGGCCAACACUGACGCUCAUGCACGAAAGCCAGGGGAGCAAACGGG